rnacentral:rRNA from 1 species
UACGGGGGGGCAAGCGUUGUUCGGAAUUACUGGGCGUAAAGGGCUCGUAGGCGGCCAACUAAGUCGGACGUGAAAUCCCUCGGCUUAACCGGGGAACUGCGUCCGAUACUGGAUGACUUGAGUUCGGGAGAGGGAUGCGGAAUUCCAGGUGUAGCGGUGAAAUGCGUAGAUAUCUGGAGGAACACCGGUGGCGAAGGCGGCAUCCUGGACCGACACUGACGCUGAGGAGCGAAAGCCAGGGGAGCAAACGGG